rnacentral:rRNA from 1 species
UUGACCUCGGAUCAGGUAGGGAUACCCGCUGAACUUAAGCAUAUCAAUAAGCGGAGGAAAGAGGCCCUCUGGGUCCACCCCCCCCUUUUUUUUCCCUUUGUUCGGGGGCCUUAGGCGGGGGGGUUACCCCCGGGGCCCCCCAAAAAAUUGG